GACGAACGCUGGCGGCGUGCCUAAUACAUGCAAGUCGAACGCAGUGGGGACGGGUGAGUAACACGUGGGUAACCUCCCAUCAGAGGGGAUAACACUUGGAAACAGGUGCUAAACCGAUACUGAUGGAAGGACCCGCGGUGCAUUAGCUAGUUGGGGAGGUAACGGCUCACAACGGCCACGAUGCAUAUCUGACCUGAGAGGUUGACCAGCCACAAUGGGACUGGGACACGGCCCAGACUCCUACGGGAGGCAGCAGUGGUGAAUAUUGCGCAAUGGGGGCAACCCUGACGCAGCCAUGCCGCGUGAAUGAAGAAGGCCUUCGGGUUGUAAAGUUCUUUCGGUAGCGAGGCGUUAACUACAGAAGAAGCACCGGCUAACUCCGUGCCAGCCGCCGCGGUAAUUC
rnacentral:rRNA from 1 species